rnacentral:lncRNA from 1 species
AAGCCCAUGAGGGCAGGGAAUUUCCAAAGAACUAGAGAACAGGGAAGUAGGUGUCUCUGGAUAAGGGUCAUGAUUAAUGACCAAACUCACCAAGUGUAUAAAAAAAAGGUGCUGUUCGACAGGUGAUGGCGGGCUCCAUCACGGGUGGCGCCCGAACAGGGACCUGAAUACGGGGGAUCAAGUGAAGGACACCGCGGAUCGUGAGCUCGGAUAAGUAAAUCAAGGGCGGUGAAUACACUCGGGAGUAACAAGAUGGGAAUUGGUAGUAGCCGGCUGCUUUUUGUACAUAUGCUUAAAAUAUGCUUCGGUCUCGUGGAGCAAAGUGCUACUACAGAUGUUUAUGCAUUCUUUGAUGAGGAUGGCUGGAAGUAUUCAUGGUCCACAAUUACAUGCUACACCGCCUAGGCCCCUGGUGUAAUCCCCUGCAGAGGCUGGUAGUCAAUGAUGGGUAAGAGGAGUACAGGAAAUCACCAACCUAAGACAGAGCAAGAGUACUGUGACGCUCUUGACUCGAUGACCGGUA